UACGUAGGAGGCAAGCGUUGUCCGGAAUUACUGGGCGUAAAGCGCGUGUAGGUGGUGGGACAAGUCUGCUGUGAAAGCGCCUGGCUUAACUGGGCGAGGUCGGCGGAAACUGUCGCACUCGAGGACGGUAGAGGGGGGUGGAAUUCCCGGUGUAGCGGUGAAAUGCGUAGAUAUCUGGAGGAACACCGGUGGCGAAGGCGGCAUCCUGGACCGGUAUUGACGCUGAGGCGCGAAAGCUAGGGGAGCAAACGGG
rnacentral:rRNA from 1 species